rnacentral:lncRNA from 1 species
UCCAACUUCCUUGCCGCUUCUUAACGUGAUGGCCUUGGCGGAUUCAAAUACUCCCCUUGGAUUCACAAUGGUUGAACUAGGCAGUUUGCCUUGUUCUCUAAACUGUCCCAUGAACUCUGCUACUUGCCCUAUUUACUUCUUUAAUUUGUCUACCUCUUUAGCUUGAUUUUGCAUCUCUUUGGUUUGAUUUUGUACUCCCUGUGUCAAAGAGGUGAGUAAUUGAAUAACUUUAUC